rnacentral:rRNA from 1 species
AGAGUUUGAUCCUGGCUCAGGAUGAACGCUGGCGGCGUGCUUAACACAUGCAAGUCGAACGAAGCACUUUAACCUGAUUCUUCGGAUGAAGGUUUUUGUGACUGAGUGGCGGACGGGUGAGUAACGCGUGGGUAACCUGCCUCAUACAGGGGGAUAACAGUUAGAAAUGACUGCUAAUACCGCAUAAGACCACAGAGCCGCAUGGAUCGGUGGGAAAAACUCCGGUGGUAUGAGAUGGACCCGCGUCUGAUUAGGUAGUUGGUGGGGUAACGGCCUACCAAGCCAACGAUCAGUAGCCGACCUGAGAGGGUGAUCGGCCACAUUGGGACUGAGACACGGCCCAAACUCCUACGGGAGGCAGCAGUGGGGAAUAUUGGGCAAUGGGGGGAACCCUGACCCAGCAACGCCGCGUGGAGGAAGAAGGUUUUCGGAUCGUAAACUCCUGUCCUUGGAGACGAGUAGAAGACGGUAUCCAAGGAGGAAGCCCCGGCUAACUACGUGCCAGCAGCCGCGGUAAUACGUAGGGGGCAAGCGUUGUCCGGAAUAAUUGGGCGUAAAGGGCGCGUAGGCGGCUCGGUAAGUCUGGAGUGAAAGUCCUGCUUUUAAGGUGGGAAUUGCUUUGGAUACUGUCGGGCUUGAGUGCAGGAGAGGUUAGUGGAAUUCCCAGUGUAGCGGUGAAAUGCGUAGAGAUUGGGAGGAACACCAGUGGCGAAGGCGACUAACUGGACUGUAACUGACGCUGAGGCGCGAAAGCGUGGGUAGCAAACAGGAUUAGAUACCCUGGUAGUCCACGCUGUAAACGAUGAUUACUAGGUGUGGGGGGUCUGACCCCUUCCGUGCCGGAGUUAACACAAUAAGUAAUCCACCUGGGGAGUACGACCGCAAGGUUGAAACUCAAAGGAAUUGACGGGGGCCCGCACAAGCAGUGGAGUAUGUGGUUUAAUUCGACGCAACGCGAAGAACCUUACCAAGUCUUGACAUCCCUUGACAGGCAUAGAAAUAUGUUUUCUCUUCGGAGCAAGGAGACAGGUGGUGCAUGGUUGUCGUCAGCUCGUGUCGUGAGAUGUUGGGUUAAGUCCCGCAACGAGCGCAACCCUUAUGGUCAGUUACUACGCAAGAGGACUCUGGCCAGACUGCCGUUGACAAAACGGAGGAAGGUGGGGAUGACGUCAAAUCAUCAUGCCCUUUAUGACUUGGGCUACACACGUACUACAAUGGCGUUAAACAAAGAGAAGCAAGACCGCGAGGUGGAGCAAAACUCAGAAACAACGUCCCAGUUCGGACUGCAGGCUGCAACCCGCCUACACGAAGUUGGAAUUGCUAGUAAUCGCGGAUCAGCAUGCCGCGGUGAAUACGUUCCCGGGCCUUGUACACACCGCCCGUCA